UGCUCUUCCGUUGUGAUAAAAAAAUUAGGAAAACGGUUGACCCUAAAGGCCAUCCCUGCAACUUCCCGCUCAUGUCAUACUUAAGCGCACAAACCUACACUUAUUACGAUUUUGAGCUCUUCGAGCUCAAAAAUAUAAUUUUCGUAUCAUUUUGAGCUCUCCGAGCUCAAAAAUUUGCUAGAAG
rnacentral:lncRNA from 1 species